rnacentral:rRNA from 1 species
GCUUACGGCCACACCUCCCUGAGCACGCCCGAUCCGUCUGAUCUUGGAAGCUAAGCAGGUCGGGCCCGGUUUAGUACUUGGAUGGGAGACCGCCUGGAAUACCAGUGCUGUAAGCC